rnacentral:lncRNA from 1 species
AACUGUCUUUCCAAACCCCACUCAGUCAGCAGCUAAAGUUGGAACUCAGGACUUCCUCACUCCAGUCUCUUCUCUUUCCCACCAUGGAGCCUGCCUCCCUCCCACAGGAACAAUUUUUGAUUCAUUCUAGGUUAAAAUGCUGUAAUUGGUGUGGAUGAGGUUGGGGAAAUAUUAAUACCACUGAGGACUGUUUCAAUGGGUAGUUAACGUAAAGGGAUAUGUCUCUGUUGGCUUCCUCUGGAAAAUUAUUUCAAGAUUUAAUUUUUAAAAUGUAAAGGCAAUAGGACUGGAUUCCCUGGUCCGACUAAUUACUGCACUCCUAAGUCAUGCUGAUGAGAUGCUUCAGGAGAACAAGGGUUCUCCCAUUGAGCUGCUGGUCGGAGGGCACUCAUGUCACUCUCGAGGGGAGUCAUUGCUGGGCUGGAGUGUGCUGUUUCUUGAGGAACAAAACUACCC